rnacentral:rRNA from 1 species
UACGUAGGAUGCAAGCGUUGUCCGGAAUUAUUGGGCGUAAAGAGCGAGCAGGCGGUUUGGAAAGUUGGACGUGAAAUUUUAGGGCUUAACCCUAAAGGGUCGUCCAAAACUCCCAGACUAGAGUGCAGGAGAGGAAAGCGGAAUUCCCGGUGUAGUGGUGAAAUGCGUAGAUAUCGGGAGGAGCACCAGAGGCGAAGGCGGCUUUCUGGCCUGUAACUGACGCUGAGGCGCGAAGGCUGGGGUAGCAAACGGG